rnacentral:lncRNA from 1 species
CUCGCCCUCCCAGAGGCGGUGAAGCAUCUCCUUGGACGCCUCGAGCGCGCCCGGGGUCGGGGAAGAGGAGGUGCAGGUGCCGCGGUGGAGAAGGUCGGGAGCGCGGGCGUACAUGCCGGUGAAGUACUUGUUGAGGCGGCGCUCGCCGUGGAAGACGGAGCGGUCGUCGCUGCCCUUCUCCAUGAGGCACACGGUGGAUUCUUCGAUGAUCUGGGUCUCGAUCGCGCGGACCAAGGAGCUGAGAUCCUCGAUGGUGUUGUCCAGGGGCAUGGCCAGCGGGAACAUGAUCUCAGCCACCAUCAUGCCG